rnacentral:rRNA from 1 species
AGCCAGACUCCUACGGGAGGCAGCAGUGGGGAAUAUUGCACAAUGGGGGAAACCCUGAUGCAGCGACGCCGCGUGAGUGAAGAAGUAUUUCGGUAUGUAAAGCUCUAUCAGCAGGGAAGAAAAUGACGGUACCUGACUAAGAAGCCCCGGCUAACUACGUGCCAGCAGCCGCGGUAAUACGUAGGGGGCAAGCGUUAUCCGGAUUUACUGGGUGUAAAGGGAGCGUAGACGGCAUGGCAAGUCAGAUGUGAAAGCCCGGGGCUCAACCCCGGGACUGCAUUUGAAACUGUCAGGCUGGAGUGCAGGAGAGGUAAGUGGAAUUCCUAGUGUAGCGGUGAAAUGCGUAGAUAUUAGGAGGAACACCAGUGGCGAAGGCGGCUUACUGGACUGUAACUGACGUUGAGGCUCGAAAGCGUGGGGAGCAAACAGGAUUAGAUACCCUCGUA